AGGGUUUGACAUACAAGUGGUAGAGAAGCGAAAGCGGACCGACCCUUCGGGGAGCUUGUACAGGUGCUGCAUGGCUGUCGUCAGCUCGUGUCGUGAGAUGUUCGGUUAAGUCCGCUAACGAGCGCAACCCUCGCUGUGUGUUACAAGUGUCACACGGAACUGCCGGUCAUAAACCGGAGGAAGGUGGGGAUGACGUCAAGUCAGCAUGGCCUUUAUAUCCUGGGCUACACACACGCUACAAUGGGAAGGGACAAUAGGUUGCGAAGCCGCGAGGUGGAGCCAAUCCAGCAAAACUUCCCUCAGUUCAGAUUGCAGGCUGCAACUCGCCUGCAUGAAGGUUGGAGUUGCUAGUAAACGCAGGUCAGCCAUACUGCGUUGAAUACGUUCCCGGGCUU
rnacentral:rRNA from 1 species